UUGUGUAUAAAAAAAAUUUGAUAGUUGAAGUAUUGGUAGGAGAAAAUUUUAUUUAUAAGUAAUUCCUUUUUGCAUUAUGGAAAUAAAAGAUUUAUAUUUAUUAAAUUUUUCCGAAAUUAACAGAAAUACAAUAGUUAAGAAAAUUAUAAAAUAAAUUUUAAUUAAUUUUUUGUAGUGAUGAAAUGUUUUACGAGGUUAAUUAUAUCUGAUUAUUAAUAAAAAAUUAUUUUUUAGAUUAUUAUUAAUUUUUAAGAUUUAAGGGAUUAGCUUUAUUUCUUGUAUUUUAUAAAAUUAAAUUUAUAUAUUAUUAAAAUUAAAAGAGUUUUAUUUUUUGAAAAGUAAUAUUUUCUUAUAUUAUAAUUUUAUUAAUUUUAUGAAUAAGUAGUAGUUAUAAUUUAUUUAUUAGUAAAUAUAAAGUUAAAUUAGAAUUAUUUGAUUUUUAUUAAUUAUGUUUUACAAAGACGAAUUUUUUAGAAUAAUUAAAAAUAUGUUCUGCCCAGUGAUUAUAUUUGUUUAACGGCUGCUUUAUUUUAAGAGUAUGAAGGUAGCAUAAUAAUUUGGUUUUUAAUUGAGAUCUAGAAUGAAUGGGUUAGGUUAAUAAAAUGAUUUUAAAUUUAAUAAUUUGAAUUUUUUAAUUUUGUGAAGAAACAAAAAUACAAUAAGGGACGAUAAGACCCUUUAAGCUUUAUUUUAGUUGGGGUAAUUAUUGAAAAUAAAAAUUUUUUUUUUGUUUAUUAGAUCCAAAAUUUUUGAAUUUUAGGUAAGCUACUAUAGGGAUAACAGCGUAAAUUAAAUGGAGAGUUUGUAUUAAUAUUUGAUGUUGCGACCUCGAUGUUGGCUUAAAAUGUCUUUUAGGUGGAGAGACUUAGAAAAGAUGGUUUGUUCACCCAUAAAAUUUUUACAUGAGCUGAGUUCAGGUCGAUGAAAAUUAGACUGGUUUCUAUCUUUAAAAUUUUAAAACUUGUACGAAAGGACUGUUUUA
rnacentral:rRNA from 1 species